GGCAGGGUACGGAGUGCAAUGGAAGUCAUCAACUCAAGUUGAGCUAUUUGGUGUGGCUGCAACAAGGUACCCUGUGGUACCUGUUGUUGUUGAGGCCAUUGACCCAGUUGUUGUUGUUGAGGUCGUUGGAAAGAACACUGUCCGAGCUGCUUCUGUUGUUGUUGGGGUUGGGAGACACCUUGGACCGACUGUUGGGGUUGUUGCUGCUGAGGUUGGUUGAAACCCUGACCAUGUUGUUGUUCUUGUAGGACGAUCGAGUAGAUGAUGGCACGGAUUGCAUCAUAGCGUGAUUGUUCGGGGAUUCGCGGCAGCUGCUGGCAAC
rnacentral:lncRNA from 1 species